rnacentral:rRNA from 1 species
GUAGUCCACGCCUUAAACUAUGUGUGCUAGUUGUUGGGAACCUCAGGUUCUCGGCGACGCAGCGAAAGCGUUAAGCACACCGCCUGGGGAGUACGGUCGCAAGAUUAAAACUCAAAGGAAUUGACGGGGACCCGCACAAGCGGUGGAGCAUGUUGUUUAAUUCGAAGCAACGCGAAGAACCUUACCUACCCUUGACAUACCGGUUUGGACUGCCAGAGAUGGCGGUUUUCAUUUAGUUGGGCCGGAUACAGGUGCUGCAUGGCUGUCGUCAGCUCGUGUCGUGAGAUGUUGGGUUAAGUCCCGCAACGAGCGCAACCCUUGUCGUAUGUUGCCAUCAGGUAAUGCUGGGCACUCGUGCGAGACCGCCGGUGACAAGCCGGA